AUACUUAACCUGGCAGGGGAGAUACCAUGAUCACAAAGGUGGUUUUCCCAGGACAAGGCUUAUCUAUUGCACUCCGAAUGUGCUGACCCCUGCGAUUUCCCCAAAUGUGGGAAACUCGACUUCAUAACUUGUGGUAGUGGGAGACUGUGUUCACGCUUUCCCCUG
ensembl:snRNA U1 U1 spliceosomal RNA